rnacentral:rRNA from 1 species
GACAUAGGUGGCAAACGUUAUCCGGAAUCAUUGGGCGUAAAGCGAGUGUAGGCGGUGUGGUAAGUCGGAUGUGAAAGCCCCGGGCUCAACCCGGGAAGUGCACUCGAUACUGCCACGCUAGAGUAUCGGAGAGGUUGGUGGAAUUCUCGGUGUAGAGGUGAAAUUCGUAGAUAUCGAGAGGAACACCGGUGGCGAAGGCGGCCAACUGGACGAAUACUGACGCUGAGACUCGAAAGCGUGGGGAGCAAACAGG